CCGGCCGCCGGACCCUCGCGUGAACGACGUCUUUCUGGCGAUUCUGUCGCAUCUGCAAUUGAUUUUCUGCUGUUUCUAGCAGCAAUGACUCUGAGGAUAAUAUCGGAUCAUCGGAUUUUAGUUCUGAAGAUGGAGAUUCGCAAAACCAGCCCGGAUCGUCGUCAGCUGUUCGGCGUGUCUCUACAGUAUAUGGUGGAGAUCUGCUGCCAUCAGCCCAGAACGUUUAGCCCAAGAAGAGAACCAGGCCUUGACCUCGGAAUGGUGCUGCGCAGUGAAGCAAAGCGGCUCACAAAAGCGAUCGACGUUUUUGUGAUGUUUUUCACAGCAGAGGUAGUAAAUAGGAUUUGUGUGAACACAAAUAAAUAUGCGUAGACGCAAAUCCUGAAGAAGCAGUCCUAUGCCAAGGCUGAUGGUUCGCGGAAAGAAGUGACGGCCGCAGAGAUGAUGAAAUUCAUUGGCCUGCUGAUCUAUAUGGGCAUCGUCGAGCUGCCACGGCUACAUCUCUACUGGAGCAGAAGGCUCCUUGUUUCCGGGUUUCGUUCCUCCCAAAAUAACGUCGAGAACGCGUUUUUUUGCUCUUCUGGGUAUGAUCCAUGUCUCGGACCCUGACGAAGAAAGCGGACGAAAGUUGGAUAAAAUUUCUUGGCUGCUUGAGCACAUGAAUGAGCAUUCAGCGAAAUUUUUCCAGCCAUGGAAAAGCCUUUCGGUGGAUAAAAGGAUGGUAAAGUCGAAAGCACGAUCGGGAAUUCGCCAAUAUAUCAAAUACAAAGUUGUGAAGUGGGGGUAUAAGUUGUGGGUGCUUGCUGACCCUCAGACAGGCUACACCAUACAAUUUUAUGUGUACACGGGCAAGCGAGAGAAAGCAAGCGCCAAUGGCUUAGCUUUUAACGUCGUUACAAAGCUGUGUGAGCCAUAUCUGGACCAGGGCUACCAUAUCUAUAUGGACAAUUUUUACACGUCCACAGCUCUGUUCCUGCAUUUGCUGAAAAGGUGUACGCUGGCUUGCGGCACAACAAGGAAGGAUCGCCAUGGAUUUCCGCAACAGAUGAAAGACACAGCUGGGAAAAGAAGGCUGAAAGAGGAAACAUUCGUUGGUUGAGAGAAAGUGGCGUUUUGUACCUGCAGUGGAAGGAUUGGCGAGUAGUGAACAUGAUGAGCACCAUCCAUACAGCCAACAACCAUGUGAUUGCAAAGCGGCAGGUGAAAAAAGAUGGGAAGUGGCAGGAAAUAUCUGUGCAAAAGCCAAAGCUCGUUGAUGAAUACAAUGCUGGUAUGCUUGGUGUCGACAAGUCCGACCAAAUGAUUGCAUCGUAUAACGUGCUCAUCAAAUGCGUCCGAUGGUGGAAAACUCUGUUUUUCCACUCAGCUGACAUUGCUUGUGUCAACAGCUAUGUCAUUUUUCAAGCUCAUCGCCAGCAGCAUGUCGGAGCAUCUGAGCUGCUAAGACCAUCAAACUUUGACCAGCUGGCUUUCCGAAUGGAGCUCGCCCAGCAACUUCUCGAUCUUGAGGAGAGGCCACAGGUUCCCACACCUCCUCAAACCAGGUCCAUCCAGCACAAGCCAUAUAGAUUGGAGAAGUGGAGAAGAUGCAAGAAGUGCUAUGAGGACAACAAACUAGACCAUAAAACAAAUGUCAUCUGCAAAACCUGCAAUGUUUGCUUGUGCUUCACUACAGCCAGAAAUGUUUUGCCCAGUACCACGCCAACCUUAGGAAUUGAAUUUUUUCACAACUUAGAGCUUUGAGAUAGGUUCUAGAUCUUGUGGCUACUAUUAGACAUUGUAAUGUGAAGCUAUAUUUGUUGAUUACACAUUUACAAUUUUUUUUUUAUGGUAAAGUCAUACCUUACGCUGUUUUGGUGCCGUGUUCAGAGUUAUGUUUCGUGUUUGAGAUUUUUUUCCCGAGUUCCUAUUCAGCACAAUUUUUUAAAAUGCCCAUGGUUCAACAGCUCAUUUAUCUAUUUAUUUAGUAACAUUCAUUGCAUUGUUCUGUUUGAAAAAUUUGUAGAGGGAAAAAAUAUAAUUGCGGCACUAGAUGGAACAAGGCAGUUUCCACUAGGCAGAAAAAAAAAUUUUGUAACUCGUAUGAUUUAUGAGCUAGGCAGCUCAAACUUUCUUCUUUUAUAGACCAUUGACUUGAAAACAUUUUGUAUAUUUCAGAUUAUUUUUCUUUUUUUCUGAUUUUGUGUUAUAAGCACCGCAUUAGAAAUGUUCUAUGCAAUUUUCAAUAAAUCUUGUUUUUCAUGAAUAUUA